rnacentral:rRNA from 1 species
UUUAUUGGAGUUAUUGUUGAGAUACCACUCUUUUCAUUCUGGUAGCUAACUCGCAUCAGUUAUCCUGAUGGAGGACAAUGUCUGGUGGGUAGUUUGACUGGGGCGGUCGCCUCCCAAAAUGUAACGGAGGCUUACUAAGGUUGGCUCAAGAUGGUUGGAAAUUAUUUGUAGAGUAUAAUGGCACAAGCCAGCUUGACUGCAAGACAUACAAGUCGAGCAGAGUCGAAAGACGGUCAUAGUGAUCCGGUGGUUCUGUGUGGAAGGGCCAUCGCUCAAAAGGAUAAAAGGUACCCCGGGGAUAACAGGCUGAUCUCCCCCAAGAGUUUAUAUCGACGGGGAGGUUUGGCACCUCGAUGUCGGCUCAUCGCAUCCUGGGGGCGUGGAGCAGGUCCCAACGGGUAAGUGGCGUG